rnacentral:rRNA from 1 species
GACGAACGCUGGCGGCGUGCUUGACACAUGCAAGUCGAACGGAAAGGCCCUGCUUUUGUGGGGUGCUCGAGUGGCGAACGGGUGAGUAACACGUGAGUAACCUGCCCUUGACUUCGGGAUAACUUCAGGAAACUGGGGCUAAUACCGGAUAGGAGCUCCUGCUGCAUGGUGGGGGUUGGAAAGUUUCGGCGGUUGGGGAUGGACUCGCGGCUUAUCAGCUUGUUGGUGGGGUAGUGGCUUACCAAGGCUUUGACGGGUAGCCGGCCUGAGAGGGUGACCGGCCACAUUGGGGCUGAGAUACGGCCCAGACUCCUACGGGAGGCAGCAGUGGGGAAUAUUGCACAAUGGGCGGAAGCCUGAUGCAGCAACGCCGCGUGCGGGAUGACGGCCUUCGGGUUGUAAACCGCUUUCGCCUGUGACGAAGCGUGAGUGACGGUAAUGGGUAAAGAAGCACCGGCUAACUACGUGCCAGCAGCCGCGGUGAUACGUAGGGUGCGAGCGUUGUCCGGAUUUAUUGGGCGUAAAGGGCUCGUAGGUGGUUGAUCGCGUCGGAAGUGUAAUCUUGGGGCUUAACCCUGAGCGUGCUUUCGAUACGGGUUGACUUGAGGAAGGUAGGGGAGAAUGGAAUUCCUGGUGGAGCGGUGGAAUGCGCAGAUAUCAGGAGGAACACCAGUGGCGAAGGCGGUUCUCUGGGCCUUUCCUGACGCUGAGGAGCGAAAGCGUGGGGAGCGAACAGGCUUAGAUACCCUGGUAGUCCACGCUGUAAACGGUGGGUACUAGGUGUGGGGUCCAUUCCACGGGUUCCGUGCCGUAGCUAACGCUUUAAGUACCCCGCCUGGGGAGUACGGCCGCAAGGCUAAAACUCAAAGGAAUUGACGGGGCCCCGCACAAGCGGCGGAGCAUGCGGAUUAAUUCGAUGCAACGCGUAGAACCUUACCUGGGUUUGACAUGGAUCGGGAGUGCUCAGAGAUGGGUGUGCCUCUUUUGGGGUCGGUUCACAGGUGGUGCAUGGCUGUCGUCAGCUCGUGUCGUGAGAUGUUGGGUUAAGUCCCGCAACGAGCGCAACCCUUGUUCACUGUUGCCAGCACGUUAUGGUGGGGACUCAGUGGAGACCGCCGGGGUCAACUCGGAGGAAGGUGGGGAUGACGUCAAGUCAUCAUGCCCCUUAUGUCCAGGGCUUCACGCAUGCUACAAUGGCUGGUACAGAGAGUGGCGAGCCUGUGAGGGUGAGCGAAUCUCGGAAAGUCGGUCUCAGUUCGGAUUGGGGUCUGCAACUCGACCUCAUGAAGUCGGAGUCGCUAGUAAUCGCAGGUCAGCAACGCUGCGGUGAAUACGUUCCCGGGGCU